AUUGAACGCUGGCGGCAGGCCUAACACAUGCAAGUCGAACGAGUGGCGGACGGGUGAGUAAUGUCUGGGAAACUGCCCGAUGGAGGGGGGUAACUACUGACAACGGUAGCUAAUACCGCAUACCAUCGGAUGUGCCCAGAUGGGAUUAGAUAGUAGGUGGGGUAACGGCUCACAAAGGCGACGAUCCCUAGCUGGUCUGAUAGGAUGACCAGCCACACGGGAACUGAGACACGGUCCAGACUCCUACGGGAGGCGGCAGUGGGGAAUAUUGCACAAUGGGCGCGAGCCUGAUGCAGCCAUGCCGAGUGUAUGAAGAAGGCCUUCGGGUUGGAAAGUACUUUCAGCGAUGAGGCGUUACUCGCAGAAGAAGCACCGGCUAACUCCGUGCCAGCCGCCGGGGUAAUUC
rnacentral:rRNA from 1 species